CAGCAGCCGCGGUAAUACGAAGGGUGCAAGCGUUACUCGGAAUUACUGGGCGUAAAGCGUGCGUAGGUGGUGGUUUAAGUCCGUUGUGAAAGCCCUGGGCUCAACCUGGGAAUUGCAGUGGAUACUGGGUCACUAGAGUGUGGUAGAGGAUAGUGGAAUUUCCGGUGUAGCAGUGAAAUGCGUAGAGAUCGGAAGGAACAUCUGUGGCGAAGGCGACUAUCUGGGCCAACGCUGACACUGAGGCACGAAAGCGUGGGGAGCAAACAGGAUUAGAUACCCCUGUAGUCCCUGUCUCUUAUAC
rnacentral:rRNA from 1 species